rnacentral:lncRNA from 1 species
AAAUGGUCAAAGGGAUAGAUUUAAUAGCAGAAAACCUGGCAGCACUAAGUGUUUGGUGCUAUUGAUAGCAUUGUAGCUGGACUCUGUGUGUGUAUAUAUAUAUAUAUAUAUAUAUAUAUAUAUAUAAUUGAGCUCCUAUGCUCUUAAAAGUACCAAGUUAUUGGUGCUUGUAGAUUUUUAGUCAUUGGAUUAAGAGAUAUGCGGUUAGGAUGAUGUGGGCCCCCUAGGGUUGAGUGGGUGGUUGGUUGAAUAGUAUAAUCUAAUGGUUGAAAAUGAUCCGAGGAGUAGAUCUAAUGGUAAAAAACUUAAAAGCACCAAGUAUUUGGUGCUUUUACAAGCAUCAUAGCCGG